rnacentral:rRNA from 1 species
UACGGGGGGGGCAAGCGUUGUUCGGAAUUACUGGGCGUAAAGGGCUCGUAGGCGGCCCACUAAGUCAGAUGUGAAAUCCCCAGGCUCAACCUGAGAACUGCAUCUGAUACUGGUGGGCUUGAAUUCGGGAGAGGGAUGCAGAAUUCCAGGUGUAGCGGUGAAAUGCGUAGAUAUCUGGAGGAGUACCGGUGGCGAAGGCGGCAUCCUGGACCGACAUUGACGCUGAGGAGCGAAAGCUAGGGGAGCAAACGGG